GCUUGACCUACCGACCUACCCUCAUGACCAAGCACCUACCUGUCCUUCAUCUACCUUCAUGCCUUGCCACGCUGUUUGUUAAUUGGUCCAUACCACGAAUCUUUCAUCAUCGCUCAAAUUAAUGGGGAAGUCGUCGCUUUCUCAGUCCGAAUCGCUCUCGCUGCUGGUGGCCAUGAUUAUAAACAAUACAUGAGCGGAGAGCUUGCGUCGUUCCUCGUGCACCUGUCAAAGAGGCAGCUGCGGACUCUCUUGCCUCCUCCGACCGGCCGCCCCCGAGCCUGGGAUGCUUCCACCGUGGAGGAGGGGGAAAAAAAAGAAAAUCUCAGCCCGGCCCAAACGGCUGCCUUCGCUUCGCCUCGUUGAGAAACAUGGCUUCCCUCAGAGACACUGGCGGUCACCACACCUCUCCGACUUUCAGGGGACCGCUUUAUUCCACAGAUGCUUGAAGAGGUUGGGGUCAGGGCUCCUUGGCUUUCUUCCACACCGAGUUGCACUCGGGCAGAAAAGGACUUUUUUUUUUUUAACAAUUUUCAAGCAAAAGACUUGUUCUACGCAACAUUCAAAGGGGAAAAAAACCCCCCAAAACUUUUUGUUUAGAAUUACAAUUGUCAUGCUGUCCCUAACCACUGGUC